GCUCGAGUGGUCCAAGGCGCUUAGCUCGGUACGGGUGGUGUAGAUAUUAUAUCAGUAGGGAUCAAAUCUCGUUGAUAGAAGAAAAAAAUGAGAUUCGCCAAAAACAGCAAAUUUAAUAUAUCUUAGGCUCAAUGAAGUAUAUGAAUUUCGGGUGUUUGUCAUACAUAACCAUAGGUUAUAUGAAAGAGAAUAUAUGUCGUAAAGCG
rnacentral:lncRNA from 1 species